UACGUAGGGUGCAAGCGUUGUCCGGAAUUAUUGGGCGUAAAGAGCUCGUAGGCGGUUUGUUGCGUCGGCUGUGAAAACCCGGGGCUCAACCCCGGGCCUGCAGCCGAUACGGGCAAGCUAGAAUUCGGUAGGGGAGACUGGAAUUCCUGGUGUAGCGGUGAAAUGCGCAGAUAUCAGGAGGAACACCGAUGGCGAAGGCGAUCCCCUGGGCCGGCACUGACGCUCAGGCGCGAAAGCGUGGGGAGCAAACAGG
rnacentral:rRNA from 1 species